rnacentral:rRNA from 1 species
UGGGGAAUUUUGGACAAUGGGCGAAAGCCUGAUCCAGCAAUGCCGCGUGUGUGAAGAAGGCCUUCGGGUUGUAAAGCACUUUUGUCCGGAAAGAAAUCCUUGGCUCUAAUACAGUCGGGGGAUGACGGUACCGGAAGAAUAAGCACCGGCUAACUACGUGCCAGCAGCCGCGGUAAUACGUAGGGUGCAAGCGUUAAUCGGAAUUACUGGGCGUAAAGCGUGCGCAGGCGGUUUGCUAAGACCGAUGUGAAAUCCCCGGGCUCAACCUGGGAACUGCAUUGGUGACUGGCAGGCUAGAGUAUGGCAGAGGGGGGUAGAAUUCCACGUGUAGCAGUGAAAUGCGUAGAGAUGUGGAGGAAUACCGAUGGCGAAGGCAGCCCCCUGGGCCAAUACUGACGCUCAUGCACGAAAGCGUGGGGAGCAAACAGGAUUAGAUACCCUGGUAGUCCACGCCCUAAACGAUGUCAACUAGUUGUUGGGGAUUCAUUCCUUAGUAACGUAGCUAACGCGUGAAGUUGACCGCCUGGGGAGUACGGUCGCAAGAUUAAAACUUAAAGGAAUUGACGGGGUCAUAGCUGUUUCC